UACGUAGGGCGCAAGCGUUAUCCGGAAUUAUUGGGCGUAAAGAGCUCGUAGGCGGUUUGUCGCGUCUGCCGUGAAAGUCCGGAGCUCAACUCCGGACCUGCAUCCGAAACUGCCCGACUAGAGGUAGGUAGGGGAGAUCGGAAUUCCUGGUGUAGCGGUGAAAUGCGCAGAUAUCAGGAGGAACACCGGUGGCGAAGGCGGAUCUCUGGGCCUUACCUGACGCUCAGGUGCGAAAGCUAGGGGAGCGAACAGG
rnacentral:rRNA from 1 species